rnacentral:rRNA from 1 species
UUAAAAAGCUCGUAGUUGAACCUUGGGCCUGGCUGACCUGUCCUCCUAAUCGAGCGCACGGGUUCGGUCGGGCCUUUCCUUCUGGGGAUCCCGAUGCCCUUCACUGGGCGUCGUGGGGAACCAGGACUUUUACCUUGAAAAAAUUAGAGUGUUCAAAGCAGGCCUUUGCUCGAAUACAUUAGCAUGGAAUAAUAGAAUAGGACAGAGGUUCUAUUUUGUUGGUUUCUAGGACCGCUGUAAUGAUUAAUAGGGAUAAUCGGGGG